rnacentral:rRNA from 1 species
UACGAAGGGGGCUGGCGUUGCUCGGAAUUACUGGGCGUAAAGGGCGCGUAGGCGGAUAUCUAAGUUGGGGGUGAAAUCCCGGGGCUCAACCUCGGAAUUGCCUUCAAAACUGGAUAUCUUGAGUUCGGGAGAGGUGAGUGGAACUCCGAGUGUAGAGGUGAAAUUCGUAGAUAUUCGGAAGAACACCAGUGGCGAAGGCGACUCACUGGCCCGAUACUGACGCUGAGGCGCGAAAGCGUGGGGAGCAAACAGG